rnacentral:rRNA from 1 species
CCUGGCUCAGAACGAACGCUGGCGGCAGGCCUAACACAUGCAAGUCGAGCGAGGACUUCGGUUCUAGCGGCGGACGGGUGAGUAACGCGUGGGAAUGUGCCCUUCUCUACGGAAUAGCCCUGGGAAACUGGGAGUAAUACCGUAUACGCCCUAUUGGGGAAAGAUUUAUCGGAGAAGGAUCAGCCCGCGUUGGAUUAGGUAGUUGGUGGGGUAAUGGCCUACCAAGCCGACGAUCCAUAGCUGGUUUGAGAGGAUGAUCAGCCACACUGGGACUGAGACACGGCCCAGACUCCUACGGGAGGCAGCAGUGGGGAAUCUUAGACAAUGGGGGCAACCCUGAUCUAGCCAUGCCGCGUGAGUGAUGAAGGCCUUAGGGUUGUAAAGCUCUUUCA